AACAAGGCGUACCUGCGGACCUGCGGAGGGAUCAUUAUCGAGUUGCAAAACUCCAACCCUUUGUGAACAUACCUCAGUCGUUGCUUCGGCGGUGGACGGCCUGUUUUUCGGAACGGCCGGAAGCCGCCGGAGGUUCCAAACUCGUAUUUUUUAGUGUAUCUCUGAGCCUGAAAACAAAUAAUCAAAACUUUCAGCAACGGAUCU
rnacentral:misc_RNA from 1 species